AGUGAACGCUGGCGGUAGGCCUAACACAUGCAAGUCGAACGGCAGCACAGUAAGAGCUUGCUCUUACGGGUGGCGAGUGGCGGACGGGUGAGGAAUACAUCGGAAUCUACUUUUUCGUGGGGGAUAACGUAGGGAAACUUACGCUAAUACCGCAUACGACCUACGGGUGAAAGCAGGGGAUCUUCGGACCUUGCGCGAUUGAAUGAGCCGAUGUCGGAUUAGCUAGUUGGCGGGGUAAAGGCCCACCAAGGCGACGAUCCGUAGCUGGUCUGAGAGGAUGAACAGCCAGCCGGGAACUGAGACAGGGUCCAGACUCCUACAGGAGGCAACAGUGGAGAAUAUUAGACGAUGGGGGAGAGUCUGAUACAGCAAUACCGCGUGGGUGAAGAAGGAGUGAGGGUUGGAAAGGCAAUUAGGUGGGAAAGAAAAGAAGUAGGGUAAUAGAGGGAUGUAAUGACGGUACCCAAAGAAUAAGCAACGGCUAACUUCGUG
rnacentral:rRNA from 1 species